UACGGAGGGUGCAAGCGUUGUCCGGAUUUAUUGGGUUUAAAGGGUGCGUAGGCGGCUCUUUAAGUCAGUGGUGAAAUACUGCAGCUCAACUGUAGGAUUGCCAUUGAUACUGAAGAGCUUGAGUACAGAUGAGGUAGGCGGAAUUUAUGGUGUAGCGGUGAAAUGCAUAGAUACCAUAAAGAACACCUAUUGCGAAGGCAGCUUACUAAGCUGUAACUGACGCUGAGGCACGAAAGCGUGGGGGAGCGAACAGG
rnacentral:rRNA from 1 species